rnacentral:rRNA from 1 species
AUUGAACGCUGGCGGCAUGCUUUACACAUGCAAGUCGGACGAGUGGCGAAAGGGUGAGUAACGCAUCGGAACGUACCGAGUAAGGGGGGAUAACUGUCCGAAAGGACAGCUAAUACCGCAUAAUAGUCGAGCGGCCGAUGACUGCUGAGCUGGUUGUCGGGGGACAGCCCCACCACGGCGACGAUCAGUAGCGGGUCUGAGAGGAUGAUCCGCCACACUGGGACUGAGACACGGCCCGUACUCCUACGGGAGGCAGCAGUGGGGAAUUGUGGACAAUGGGCGCAAGCCUGAUCCAGCCAUGCCGCGUGUCUGAAGAAGGCCUUCGGGUUGUAAAGGACUUUUGUCAGGGAAGCGGUACCUGAAGAAUAAGCACCGGCUAACUACGUGCCAGCAGCCGCGGUAAUUC